rnacentral:rRNA from 1 species
CCUACGGGAGGCAGCAGUCGAGAAUCAUUCACAAUGGGGGAAACCCUGAUGGUGCGACGCCGCGUGGGGGAAUGAAGGUCUUCGGAUUGUAAACCCCUGUCAUGUGGGAGCAAAUUAAAAAGAUAGUACCACAAGAGGAAGAGACGGCUAACUCUGUGCCAGCAGCCGCGGUAAUACAGAGGUCUCAAGCGUUGUUCGGAAUCACUGGGCUUAAAGCGUGCGUAGGCUGUUUCGUAAGUCGUGUGUGAAAGGCGCGGGCUCAACCCGCGGACGGCACAUGAUACUGCGAGACUAGAGUAAUGGAGGGGGAACCGGAAUUCUCGGUGUAGCAGUGAAAUGCGUAGAUAUCGAGAGGAACACUCGUGGCGAAGGCGGGUUCCUGGACAUUAACUGACGCUGAGGCACGAAGGCCAGGGGAGCGAAAGGGAUUAGAUACCCCAGUAGUC